rnacentral:misc_RNA from 1 species
GAUGAAGAACGUAGCGAAAUGCGAUAAGUAAUGUGAAUUGCAGAAUUCAGUGAAUCAUCGAAUCUUUGAACGCACAUUGCGCCCGCCAGUAUUCUGGCGGGCAUGCCUGUUCGAGCGUCAUUACAACCCUCAGGCCCCCGGGCCUGGCGUUGGGGAUCGGCGGAAGCCCCCUGCGGGCACAACGCCGUCCCCCAAAUACAGUGGCGGUCCCGCCGCAGCUUCCAUUGCGUAGUAGCUAACACCUCGCAACUGGAGAGCGGCGCGGCCACGCCGUAAAACACCCAACUUCUGAAUGUUGACCUCGAAUCAGGUAGGAAUACCCGCUGAACUUAAGCAUAUCAAUAGCGGAGGA